AGCACACCAAUUUUGACCAAAGUCUUUUGCAUUUUGACCAGGUCCAAAAUAAUUUUGACCUGUAGUACAAUUAACUUGAUUAGACCCAUAAAGCUGUUGAGCAAAGUUAGAAAGCUUAGGCCGAGUAUUUGGGAGAGACGACCAGCCACCAUCGCCGGAGUUAAAAUUCAUCGUCUGGUCUUGCGGCGGAAGGGACACCGGAGACGACUCAUCACGAUGAUACCUGUAAUAACAUUUUUGAGCCACGUGCCCAAACCGAGAGUAGAUCUGACACUGAAGUCGCGGCCGAAACGUCCGUCCACGACCGCGCGCGCCCGAUCGUCCUCCUCGCGACGAACCAUCCAUAGGAACAUCCUCCACCAGAUUAGCAGCAUACACCACCUCUUGACUGGUCUGAGCAUGCCGUGUUUCAUAUUCAAGUAACGCUUCAACCAAUAGUGGAAACGGCAACGGAGUCGGAGACAACGAAGCCGACGAGACAACGCCUUCAAACUCAGACGGAAGCCCCGCAAGAAGCACCGCCGUCCUUUCCGCCAUUGAAAUGGAAGAUCCAGAGGAUUCCAACAUAGCACACACACGUUUUAACUUUGCAACAUAAUCUCAAAUUGACAUGCUUCCUUUCUUGAGUGAGUGAAGCUCAUGACGUAAACGCGACUGCCGUUGAUCGGAAUCGGCCGCAAACAUUUCCAACGCCAUGUUCCACACAUCCUUCGCCGACUGAACAUCCAUAAAGGAUGAAAGAAUGGAGGAACUAAUAGUGGAAAGAAGCCAGGACGUGAGAAGAUUGUCCUGCUGUUGAUACACGGACGCCACGGGAUUUACCACAAGUGCACCAUCCGGCGCUUCCACAAACCUCGGUGGCACAGCAAUAGAACCAUCAAGAAAACCAAACAGAUUAUAGCCAUUAACAAUGAAUCUCACCUGUUGCUUCCAUUGAAGAAACGAACCUUCAUCGAGUUUCACAACAUCAUGUCGAGGAAGCGAAUUUACCACACGUUCAGGAGUGAACACAGAUCCAGGAACGUCAACAGAGUCAGACGCAGCAGAGUGUGUCGUUGCCAUGAUCAGUAACACCAAGCGACUGAUACCAUGAAGAAAACUAGGUAAUCUUUGAGAAUUUCUUUCCAAUCUUGGAGAACUUUGUUUACUAAAUGAAUUUAGACUAUUUACUUGCUCAAUACAAUGCCAGACCAUUGUUUUUAUACUUACAGAUAACAACUUGCUUCUCUUAACAAAGUAACUAACCUUUCCAACCUUCACUAACUAAUCUGCUAACUGUUCAGUUUUAUUAUUCUUAACAAGUUGUAAAAGAUUAUAAAAAAAUGAUUCAAGGGGAAUCAAUAAUAUUAACAAUGUUUCCAGUAGGGUGGACUCCAGCAACUUCCUCGAUGAGUAAAGUAGUGCCAUCAUCAAUAGCUUGGGGAGUAGAAGGCAGAUGAUAAAGUACACUAGAGUUUGAUAGCUGAGGGAUUAUACAUGUCAACUUCGGGCAAAACUCUCUAAUGGCGGUAAGAUUAAACAUCGCUUACAUCAAAAGGAUCAUGGUUCAAUUGAAGAUGCAACGUUGUCAAGUCUUGGAUGAAAUAAACUUGCUUCCCUUUAUCAAUCUCCCCCUUUAAAAUAACAGCUCAACAUUAGUAUCUUGCUUAGCAAAUUGCUCCUUAAGGGAUUCCUUCCCCUUUGGCCAUUCACUUUUCAAGAUUCGCGGCUUGCUGAAGAUAACAAUCGUUCAACUCUAGCAUCCUUUUCGCAUGAUCUUCCUUGACAUCCAAGCUCCAUUGAAGGUGUUUAGCCUCCUCCACUUGCAGCUUUUUCCUUCAACAAAGCCUCUUUCACUGAACAUUUGUUGUGAAUGAGUGGUCAAAAUUCUCCAAUAGCUUAUUCAUCUCCAGGUUGGCCUUAACCUGUAUAUCAUAUGAUCACCUUAACUUAUCAAAAAAAAGCCAUCCAAGCCUCACAAUCCUUCUCAACUAGUCUUUCUCCCAAGUCAACCUAUGGAUAUCUGAUGACUUCCUAGUGUACUCUUAAAAUAUAUCAACUUUAAACAUAGUUCAUUCCCAGGGUCGUAACCAUGAAAAUUGAGUUUAAUUCACAACUUUGUUUAACCAACUCUAGAAGUACCAAUUAAGGAUGGUAGUCAAUACUAGCAUUAAGAAAGGAUAUGAAGGAAUAAAAACUAACAAACUAAAUUAAAAUAGUAAUCUCAAAGUUAACUUCUAAUUAGAUAUAGUUAAUGGAGUGUAACGAAUGAAUUAAUGAUAUAACACUUGGCCUUUAGGAUAAAAGAUCCACACCCCUUGUUGAUUUCUUGACAACUAAGUUUCUUAUUUACUAAUUAAUAAAUUUAUUAUUAUUGUGUUUUAACAAAAUUCUACAAAUAUGCAAAAUACAUUAUUAUUCCAAUCUUGAUGAUUUAGUUAAUUAUUUAUUUGGUUUAUUAUGUACUACACAUAG
rnacentral:lncRNA from 1 species